GACGUAGGGCGCGAGCGUUGUCCGGAUUUAUUGGGCGUAAAGAGCUCGUAGGCGGCUUGUCGCGUCGACUGUGAAAACCCGCGGCUCAACUGCGGCCUGCAGCCGAUACGGGCAGGCUAGAGUUCGGUAGGGGAGACUGGAAUUCCUGGUGUAGCGGUGAAAUGCGCAGAUAUCAGGAGGAACACCGAUGGCGAAGGCAGGUCUCUGGGCCGAUACUGACGCUGAGGAGCGAAAGCGUGGGGAGCGAACAGG
rnacentral:rRNA from 1 species